rnacentral:misc_RNA from 1 species
AGAGGAGAGUCUAACAUCAUUAAGGAGUAUACCACACUGGGAAGGAGAGUAGUAUCGUGGAGAUGAAUCAUGAUCAGUAGUAUAUAGGUUAUCAUAGUAAUUAAGCAAAGUACCCUUUAUAAUCACGCUUAAUUAGUCAAACCAAAAUAUUCUUUAAGAGGCAAAAAGAACAUGCAACAUUCCUGAAUUUAAAUUGUUGGAUAAUUA